rnacentral:rRNA from 1 species
AUACGUAGGUGGCGAGCGUUGUCCGGAAUUACUGGGUGUAAAGGGCGUGUAGGCGGGGAUGCAAGUCAGAUGUGAAAUACUAAGGCUUAACCUUGGGGCUGCAUCUGAAACUGUGUUUCUUGAGUGUCGGAGAGGAAAGCGGAAUUCCCAGUGUAGCGGUGAAAUGCGUAGAGAUUGGGAGGAACACCAGUGGCGAAGGCGGCUUUCUGGACGACAACUGACGCUGAGGCGCGAAAGCGUGGGGAGCAAACAGGAUUAGAUACCCUGGUAGUCCACGCCGUAAACGAUGGAUACUAGGUGUAGGAGGUAUCGACCCCUUCGGUGCCGGAGUUAACGCAAUAAGUGUUCCGCCUGGGGAGUACGGCCGCAAGGUUGGA